rnacentral:rRNA from 1 species
AGAGUUUGAUCCUGGCUCAGGACGAACGCUGGCGGCGUGCCUAAUACAUGCAAGUAGAACGCACAGGAUGCACCGUAGUUUACUACACCGUAUUCUGUGAGUUGCGAACGGGUGAGUAACGCGUAGGUAACCUGCCUGGUAGCGGGGGAUAACUAUUGGAAACGAUAGCUAAUACCGCAUAAGAACAUUUACUGCAUGGUAGAUGUUUAAAAGGUGCAAAAGCAUCACUACCAGAUGGACCUGCGUUGUAUUAGCUAGUUGGUGAGGUAACGGCUCACCAAGGCAACGAUACAUAGCCGACCUGAGAGGGUGAUCGGCCACACUGGGACUGAGACACGGCCCAGACUCCUACGGGAGGCAGCAGUAGGGAAUCUUCGGCAAUGGGGGGAACCCUGACCGAGCAACGCCGCGUGAGUGAAGAAGGUUUUCGGAUCGUAAAGCUCUGUUGUUAAGGAAGAACGUGUGUGAGAGUGGAAAGUUCACACAGUGACGGUACUUAACCAGAAAGGGACGGCUAACUACGUGCCAGCAGCCGCGGUAAUACGUAGGUCCCGAGCGUUGUCCGGAUUUAUUGGGCGUAAAGCGAGCGCAGGCGGUUAGAUAAGUCUGAAGUGAAAGGCAGUGGCUCAACCAUUGUAGGCUUUGGAAACUGUUUAACUUGAGUGCAGAAGGGGAGAGUGGAAUUCCAUGUGUAGCGGUGAAAUGCGUAGAUAUAUGGAGGAACACCGGUGGCGAAAGCGGCUCUCUGGUCUGUAACUGACGCUGAGGCUCGAAAGCGUGGGGAGCGAACAGGAUUAGAUACCCUGGUAGUCCACGCCGUAA